CCUACGGGAGGCUGCAGUAGGGAAUCUUCCGCAAUGGGCGAAAGCCUGACGGAGCAACGCCGCGUGAGUGAUGAAGGUCCUCUGAGCGUAAAACUCCGUUUUUAGGGAAGAACAUCUGUGUAAGUAUCUGCGCCCAUCUUGACGGUACCUAUUCAGAAAGCCACGGCUAAUUACGUGCCAGCAGCCGCGGUAAUACGUAGGUGGCAAGCGUUAACCGGAUUUAUUGGGCGUAAGGGGCGCGUAGGCGGUUUUUUAAGUCUGAUGUGAAAGCCCAUGGCUCAACGGCGGAGGCGCAUGGGAGACUGGAGAACUAGAGAGCAGAAGAGGAAAGUGGAAUGCCAGGUGUAGCGGCGAAAUGCGCAGAGAUAAGAAAGAACACCAGUGGCGAAGGCGGCUUACUGGGCUAUAACUGACGCUGAUGUACGAAAGCGUGGGGAGCAAACAGGAUUAGAUACCCGAGUAGUC
rnacentral:rRNA from 1 species